CGGCGGACGGGUGAGUAACGCGUGGGUAACCUGCCUCAUACAGGGGGAUAACAGUUGGAAACGGCUGCUAAUACCGCAUAAGCGCACAGUACCGCAUGGUACGGUGUGAAAACCUCCGGUGGUAUGAGAUGGACCCGCGUCUGAUUAGGUAGUUGGUGGGGUAACGGCCUACCAAGCCGACGAUCAGUAGCCGACCUGAGAGGGUGACCGGCCACAUUGGGACUGAGACACGGCCCAA
rnacentral:rRNA from 1 species